rnacentral:misc_RNA from 1 species
AAGUCGUAACAAGGUUUCCGUAGGUGAACCUGCGGAAGGAUCAUUAAUGAAACUUUCAAAGUCGGCUUGUUUAUCUGUGCUGGUGGAGACACAUGUGCACAUUGACAAGUUGCAAAUCCACACACCUGUGCAUCUUAUGACUCUGAGUUACCCUUUUGUGUGGCUUUCACUGGCCUGGUGACUCGAGUACUUUUACACACUCUUGAAUGUAAUGGAAUGUCUAUUGUGCAUAAUGUACAACUAAAAUAACUUUCAACAACGGAUCUCUUGGCUCUC